UACGUAGGUGGCAAGCGUUGUCCGGAUUUAUUGGGUUUAAAGGGUGCGUAGGCGGCUUUUUAAGUCAGUGGUGAAAUACAGCAGCUCAACUGUUGAGGUGCCAUUGAUACUGAGAGGCUUGAGUACAGAUGAGGUAGGCGGAAUUUAUGGUGUAGCGGUGAAAUGCAUAGAUACCAUAAAGAACACCGAUUGCGAAGGCAGCUUACUAAGCUGUAACUGACGCUGAGGCACGAAAGCGUGGGGGAGCGAACAGGA
rnacentral:rRNA from 1 species